GGCCGACUAGCUCAGUUGGUUAGAGCGUCGUGCUAAUAUCUGUGCUUUCCGAAAUAGUAAUGUUAACGCGAAGGUCUUGGGUUCGAUCCCCACGUUGGCCA